ACCAUGGGAAAGUGAUCUGGCUUUUACCUCACUUGCAUUGGAGCCCAGGCUCACCCGACAGACAGGAGCUCAUCACCAUCGUGUCAUGGACAGCCCUCCCUCCCUUCACAGACUCCCAUCCUCACCCAAGUCCCCCUCCCCCUGCCCAUGUCCAGUGUGUGUCCUGGAGCCAUAAUGGGACCAGGCAGAAGAGACCAGAGAGGAAGCACAUGCAAAUAACAUGUACGUUACCCCUUCGUAGGAACUGCUUCGGAUGCAAGUAGAUGAUUCUGCAGAGGACCAGGGCAGGGCCCAGGGACAGAAGCUGAGCCUUAUUUAAAAACGACAGUAGAUGUCUGUAUUUGUUUGGCAGUGUGGAUCGCGGGGGCAGGGGGCACCUCGGUGAGGUGCGUAGCUUCUCUGAUGGGGCCUGGGAGCAGAACAAAUGGGGGCCACUGGUAUCUCAUCCGCCCCAAGCUGAGGAGCAUGAACUCUCCCAUCCUCGAGCAGCACCUGGUGCUGGAGGAAAAAUCAACCCCAAGCAAGUCCUCGGAGAGCAAGCAGCUUCUUCACGAGAGGGGCCACCGGGGGCAUGCGGGAAAGUCAUCAGGGUAACCAGCCUUAAUAAAGGUAGAAGAUGAAAUGCGAGAGGGGUGGGUUGGAGCAGGGGGAGUUGGAGCGAAGGAAAUGAUUGCCGGAGAAACAGAUGCAAUUGAACAAGACUCGUGGAGAUGGAUUUCCCUGCCUUGGUCCAAACUCAAAUCCCUGUGCUCAGAUUAAUUAGCAAGGAAAUAUUUUCCUGUCUGCAGAAAAAGACUGCUGGAUUGCCAGUGGGACAGGAGGGUGGGCAGUCUAUCAAAUAACUACUAAUUAGGUUACUUCCCACUGCUGUUGACAUGCUGGGGACAUGUUCCUGGGCCAAAAUAAAAGGGGGGAGGGGAGAGAAGAACGGAGACAGAGAUAGAGGUACAGGCCAGGAUCGUCUCUGCUCACUGCAGAAAAUUGCUGGCUGGGAUUAGGAAGGAGACCUGGGUCCAAAGGCCAAAGGAGAGAUGACAGAGAGAAGCAAUGCUCUGAUUAGUGGACAGCCUUUGGCCGAGACCUGCACUUGCGUUGCGUGACUUGCUACAAAUGUGCUGGAAAUGUGCAUUGUAUGGCCAGUCACUGGGAAGCCCUGGGUGGAAAUUUGAAUGAUGAUAAUAAUGACAGUGGGUGAUUUUUGAGUGUUUGCUCCCUGUCAGGAGCACCUCAUUCAGUUAGCAAGUAUGAGAUGGGGGUGGCAGAGGGUGGGAGAUUAACAUUAGUUACCUCCUUGUUUCUUAUAACUAAGGAGUAUUUUAGACCCUUUCUAUACAUAAGGUGGAGCUCAGAGAGGUUAAAUAAUUCACCCACAGUCACACAGCAAUAAGUAGUGAAACUGAACACAAGGCAGUCCUACCUCCAGCCCUGUCUGCCCUUAAUCCCCUCUCAAUGGAUACUGCACAUUCAGCAAAUGCAUUGUCUUCCUUUGCCUGAGUUCCCUAACUCUGCCCUAAAAUUCUCAAGGCAUAUUUUUCAAUGUGUCACAUGCAGGAACUUUAACUAUAUUGCAGGAGGGGCACCACCCUAUUUCCUGAGGUCUGAGGCCAUUAUCUAGCUCCUUAUUUUAGGGAACUAAAUAGAGAGAGUUGGACGACCCAAUCCACAAGCAGCACCAUCAAGCCAUCUACAUUGUGCACUGUGGAGUUUGCUUAUUUCCUUACCUUCUGUCUUCAUCGCAGACGGGGCCGUGAGUGGCUCAGCUACUGGGUGAAGUGGCUGAUGGCUGUGCCUUCUCCUGGGCUGGUCCAUCCUCCAUUCUCCACCCUUUUCCUGUGAACAGAGUUGGAGCACAGGAUACCCCACUGCUCUCUGGGGUGAGCUUCCCACCCAAAGAGUCCUGUUCUACCCUGUUGUUUCUCUCUUUCUUCCCUCAAAGCUCCUCCUGCUAUGGAAGGAGCUUUUUGUAGCCUGUGCACUAGAUUGCAAGUUUCUCGAGGCCGAGACUAUGUCAUGUUCACCUUUGAGUUCCCUGAACUUAAUAUUGUACCGGGGACUUUGCGAUGCGUGUUGCAUGCGUGGACGCUGAAUCAGGGAGUAAAUGCCUGAACAGCUUUAUGUGGCUCACAUCCAGCCUGCCUCUAAAGAUUUCCCUAAUUUUGCAUAUUGUACCCCCACUGCAGUCCUGGAGUCUAAAUAUUCUCUGCUAAGUCUGGUGGCAAGAUGACAGUGCUCCCAAGAUGCCCUUUCCCCCUGGGUGCCUCCAGGUUCCUUCUUAAUAUUGAAAGAGUGGGGACUUUGUACAGAGAUGUCGCUGCUGCUCCAGGCAGUAAAUGGGGCUCAGGCGCUGCUGCCGGUCCUUUCGGGCCUUGGAAAGGCAGCUCCAGACCUGAGGGCCUGGGCAACGGGAGGCCGACAGAUGGGGUGGGGAGAUGCAUCAGAGAAGCCGGGAAGGAAAGAGUGUCCAGAAAACCUGCUUCCUUGGAGCAAGCCCUGUGUGAGCAGAAGGAAGCCACGCACAGAGGGGUGAGGGAGCAGAACAAGUGGGUUACCUAAAAAUAGCAGCGCUGGUUUCCCACGUUUCGAGAUGGGUCCUCUGCGAUUCGUCUGGGCUGGUUUGUGCAAGUUUGCUUAUUUAUUGAGAGUCAGAGAAAAGGAGCAAAUCAUUCACCCAACACCUCCGCAAUGAGCAACCAGGCCGAGGGGCUGAGAGGCUUGCAAAACCCAGGAGGCCUGGGACGUGCUGGGGGUGGGCAGACAGGCCUGGGAGCUGCCCUCAGCUGGUUCCUGCUUUUUUGGCAGAGGAGAUGAUGGGUGGGACCUCCUCCAGUCGCAGGGGACUUCUGUGGAAAAGGCACAUGUCACUACUCAAGUGCCCGUGGAUCUGUACGCGUGUGUGUCUCUCUGAGGGAGUCAAGGAGAUGCUGCGACUCAGGCCGCUUGCCCAGCCCCAAGCACACAUAGUAGGUGUUUAAUAAAUGUUAACAAGGGAGUCAAUUAAGUGGGAAUUGAAAUCAGGGCAAGAGGAGGCAGGGGACGAGAAACAAUGAGAAACAGCCGUAGGAUUUCUGAAGAAAAGAGAUGGAUUUUGGAGUCAGGAAGCCAGAGGUUCAAAUCCUAACUCUGCUGUUUGCUAACAUUGUAACCUCAGGCAAGUUACUUCACCUUUCAGAAUCUUAGUCCUCAUCUAUACAUUUUUUACUUUUUUUAUUUUUUAUUUUUGUCUUCUGUCUUUUUAGGGUCAAACCCAAGCUACAGCUGCCGGCCUAUGCCACAGCCAAAGCCACACUGGAUCUGAGCCACAUCUGUGACCUAUACCACAGCUCACAGCAACGCCGGAUCCUUAACCCACUGAGCGAGGCCGGGGAUUGAACUCAUGACCUCGUGGAUGCUAGUGGGGUUCAUUAACCACUGAGCCAGAACGGGAGCUCCUAUACAUUUUUUAAAGAGGGGGGAUAAUAAUACCUAUCCAAUAGGAUUGCUGGGAUUAUUACAUGAAAUUAUAUAUGGAAAGUACCUAUACAAGGCUGAGGUCAAAAAAUUGGAGCUAUUUUUCUUUUUAUUAUCAUUUGUUAUAAAUAGCAUCAGUGAGGAUCCUCAGGUUAUUAACAGGAUAUCACUUUAGAGAAGAACUCAAAUCAAAGAUGUCAAUUUUCCCCAGAUUGAUCAACAGAUUUUAAAUUCCAAUGAAAACACCAAUAAGCUUUUUUAAAAUAGAAGUUGACAAACGUUCUCUAAAAUAUCAAUGGAAAUGCAAAGGCUUCAUAAUAAACCAAAAUGUUUUUUAAAAGACCAAAGUUGGAAAGGUUGUCCUACCACAUUUCAAGACUUAAAAGCUACAGCAGUAAAGUACUGGCAUAUUUAUUUAUUUAUCCAUGUAUUUGUCUUUUUAGGGCCACACCCUUGACACCUGGAAGUUCCCAGGUUAGGGGUCGAAUCAGAGCUGCAGCUGCCAGCCUACACCACAGCCAUAGCAAUGCGGGAUCUGAACCUCGUCUGCGACCUACACCACAGCUCACGGCCACGCUGGAUCCCUGACCCACUGACCAAGGCCAGGGAUGGAACCCGAAACUAUGAGGGUGUUUUAUGAGUGAGAUCAACCUUUAAAUAAAUAGACUGAAUAAAGUAGAUAACCCUCCUUAAUGUCAGUGGAGGGUGGGAGGGUCUCAUCCUAUCAUUCGAAGCCUAAUUAGAACAAAAAGGCUGGUGCUCCCUUGAAUAAGAAAGGAUUCCUCCUGCUGGCUUGCUUUUGAGCUGGGACAUUGGGUUUUUUCUUGCCUUCAGACUUAAGCUGAAACAUCAGCUUUUCCUGGGUCUCAAGCCUAGCAGCUUUCAGAUGAGAACCACACCAUCAGCUCUUCUGAGUCUCCAGGUUGCCAGCUCGCUCUGCAGAUCUUGGGACUUGGCAGCUUCCAUAAUCACAGGAGCCAGUUCCUCACAAUAUACCUCUUUCCUUAAAGAUAUUGAUAUUCCCCUACUGGUGUUCUUUCUCUGAAGAAUCCAGACUAAUUCAGACUAGAAUUUUGUUCAUUGAAAGACAUAGCAGUAGACUGAAUAUUGGUCUUCCGCAAAGGUCCAUGUCCUAAUCUUGGAACCCGUGAAUGUGUUACCUUACAUAGUAAUAGAGACUUUGCAGAUGUGAUUGAGUCAAGGAUCUUGGGACAGUGAUAUUUUCCUGGGCCUAAUAUAAUCACAAAGGACCUUUUAAAAGGGAGGCGGGAGGGUCAGGGUCAGAGAGGAGAUGUGAUGCAGAAGAUGGAACGAGGCAGGGCCACCAGCCCUCAAGUGUAUGCAGCCGCUAGAAACUAGAAAAGGCAAGGGAAUCGAUUCGUCUCUCCAACCUCCAGGAGGGUGCUGCCCUGCCAACACUUUGAUUUUAGCCCUGUGAAAUUGACCGACUUCCAGAACUAUAAAACAAUAUAUUUGUGUUGUUUUUAGCCACUAAGUUUGUGAUAACUAGUUACAGCACAAUAGGAAAUGAAUACAGACCCUGUUAAGAAUACACACAGACACAGACAUAGGACUUGUACUAAGAAUACAUGAAAAGGGAGUUCCUGUCGUGGCGCAGCUGAAACAGAUCCAACUAGUAUCCAUGAGGAUGCGGGUUUGAUCCCUGGCCUCGCUCACUGGGUUAAGGAUCUGGUACUGCCAUGAGCUGUGGUGUAGGUCGAAGAUGCGGCUUGGAUCCUUCAUUACUGUGGCUCUGGCGUAGGCCGGCAGCUGUAGCUCUGAUUGCACCCCUAGCCUGGGAACUUCCAUAUGCUGCA
rnacentral:lncRNA from 1 species